rnacentral:rRNA from 1 species
GAUGAACGCUGGCGGCGUGCCUAAUACAUGCAAGUCGAGCGAACGGACGAGAAGCUUGCUUCUCUGAUGUUAGCGGCGGACGGGUGAGUAACACGUGGAUAACCUACCUAUAAGACUGGGAUAACUUCGGGAAACCGGAGCUAAUACCGGAUAAUAUUUUGAACCGCAUGGUUCAAAAGUGAAAGACGGUCUUGCUGUCACUUAUAGAUGGAUCCGCGCUGCAUUAGCUAGUUGGUAAGGUAACGGCUUACCAAGGCAACGAUGCAUAGCCGACCUGAGAGGGUGAUCGGCCACACUGGAACUGAGACACGGUCCAGACUCCUACGGGAGGCAGCAGUAGGGAAUCUUCCGCAAAGGGCGAAAGCCUGACGGAGCAACGCCGCGUGAGUGAUGAAGGUCUUCGGAUCGUAAAACUCUGUUAUUAGGGAAGAACAUAUGUGUAAGUAUCUGUGCACAUCUUGACGGUACCUAAUCAGAAAGCCACGGCUAACUACGUG